UUCAAUGUCAUACAGGUUUGCAACAACAUAAGAGUGAGUAAAUCAUGACAUAAAUGAUGUUUAUUUUUGUUUGAAUUAAUCCUUUAAGUCUCACAUGGAUUCUAAUCUUAACCAGUAAUUACCAAAAAUGCAUCAAUUAAACAAGAAUAUUUAGACUUUACGCCGAUGGAAUUGUUUGACCUUCGAAAAAAGGGGUGGGGGGGGAGAUGCUCGCCUGUCCUCUGCUCAAUUGAUCCCUUGACAGGCAACACCUAACAACAAGUCAAUUCAAAAAAGUUGCAGGCAACGUCAAAUUGUCAAUACUCAAUCAAGAAAUGCCUUCUGGUCUCAAGCUUGAUCCUGGAUAAUAAUGAUAUCCAGCUUCAGGUGAGGACAGGGUUGUGAAGGUCUAUCCUCCCUGGGUAUUCUGGACUGGCAGCAGGAAUUAAUCCUCCACACAUGCACUCUGCAGACUGAAUUGUGAAACACAAAGUGUGGAUUACAUGACCAAUGUUUGGACAAGGGGGAAUGAUUUUCAAGGCUUUGAAUAGGAUGGAACUUUGCAUGUUUAAACAUAAGAGAAAAUUGUUGGCUGGAGAAGAAAAGUAUAAUUAUUUUUUGCUGAUUAAAGGCAGGAAUGCUGUCAAAACCCACUGACUUGCAUAAGAUGUUUUGUGAAAUAAUCCUGGCUAAGCUAAUCGACUUCAGCAUAAUGCUCCUUUUUGAUGCCUACUACAAAAUCAAGAAGACAUUUUGCACCUAGAACCCCCCCUUUUUUAUAUAUCCUCAACAAAUGGCUCUCAUUCAGUUGAACAGUGCCUCUGUUAGUCAGGCCUGUCAAAGAAAAGUAAACAAACCUAAAACGCAGCUGUUCAAACUCACACGGAAAUACACAAGAGAACAGAGCAAAACAAACCAACAAACUAUAAAUGCUGUAAAGCAGAGAUUUUUCUAAAAGUGCUGUCAUGUGCUUGAGCAUGGGAGAUUCAGAUGGGAUAUGUCAUCUCUCGCUCUGCAGAGAGCUCUACGGGCCCCAGGAGCACUUGGAACGGGGCCCAGAGUCCGCCUCCAACAUCACUGGUUCAUUCCACCUCCAACUUUGACCCCUGUGGUGACUGUGAAAAAUGAGUACAUCGAGCAGAUGAAAUGAUUAAACCAGAGCCAGUGGGAGAUUGUCAUCAGACCAGAGUUGCCAUGACGACAAAGUGGGAUGGUGUGGUGAAUGUCACCUUUGCUGUCUAAGCUCUCAUGUCUGGAGCUCAGAUUUGAACUGUUUUGUUAAACCAAGGUUACACGGGAUUCGAACUGGAGCUCCUAGCCUCUCAAGUACAUCUCCGUACUCCAUGAACUACCAACCAAACCUACAGUCUAUGAAAACCCAUUAAUAUGAAGCUGGAUUUGUGCAAUGCUAAUGUUCCAAAGCAUAAGUUUUCAAAUCUCCCAGCAUACUAAUAUUGUUUUGAAGUCAUAACAUAAUAUUCCUCAAGUAAUUGUGCAAAAAUUACGCUUUAUUAAUCGAUACUCUGUAAAUCUGUGUGAAAAGGAAUAAAAGGUGUCAGAGUUUUACUGCCUCUAGUAUUCGUUUAUUUUGGAAACUGCAGUGAUAUGUACUUAUUGGUACGUAUUUCAUGUCUCACUAAAAAUGCCCCAGGUACGUUUAUGCCAUGAGACCAGGUAGCUAUUUUUACUGUUUUUAUGUAUCAUUGUACUGCUUUUAAAGUAUAUCGGGUGAAUGGAAUUUGGAAUUUUACUCAGUGAAACUAAAAUAUUUUACUGUUAUAAUUAUAUUAUAGUUCUUAAUAAUGAAUAAUACAUAAACUGGAAAUGCACUUUUUGCAACUGGAGCCAACAGGAUGAAAAUGUGUAAAAAAAAAUAAAAUAAAAAAUACAGUAGAUAUAACUUUUAUGCUCUUUGUUUAUUUAAAAAACAUAAUUUAAAGUUUGGAGUCAGAGUGAAUGGCCAUAAAUGGGUCUUCUUCCUGGUUGCUAAUUCUGAAGGUAGCACGUCCAUCUCCUCCAA